rnacentral:rRNA from 1 species
GAUGAACGCUAGCGGCAGGCCUAAUACAUGCAAGUCGAACGAGAUUAAGAGGCUUGCUUCUUAUGAAAGUGGCGCACGGGUGCGUAACGCGUAUGCAACCUACCUUAAUCAGGGGGAUAGCCCGAAGAAAUUCGGAUUAAGACCGCAUAAAAACACAGGAUAGCAUUAUCCAAUGUUCAAAUAUUUAUAGGAUUAAGAUGGGCAUGCGUGUCAUUAGCUAGUUGGCGGGGUAACGGCCCACCAAGGCGACGAUGACUAGGGGAUCUGAGAGGAUGACCCCCCACACUGGUACUGAGACACGGACCAGACUCCUACGGGAGGCAGCAGUAAGGAAUAUUGGUCAAUGGAGGGAACUCUGAACCAGCCAUGCCGCGUGCAGGAAGACAGCCCUCUGGGUCGUAAACUGCUUUUAGUCGGGAAUAAACCUUUCUACGUGUAGGAAGCUGAAUGUACCGAAGGAAUAAGAAUCGGCUAACUCCGUG